AGCGAACGCUGGCGGCAGGCCUAACACAUGCAAGUCGAACGAACCUUUCGGGGGUAGUGGCGGACGGGUGAGGAACACGUGGGAACGUGCCGUUAGGUUCGGAAUAACUCAGGGAAACUGGUGCUAAUACCGAAUGUGCCCUUCGGGGGAAAGAUUUAUCGCCUUUAGAGCGGCCCGGGUCUGAUUGGCUAGGUGGUUUAGGUAAUGGCGCACCAAGGCGACGAUCAGGAGCUGGUCUGAGAGGAUGAUCAGCCACAUGGGAACUGAGACACGGCCCAAACCCCUAAGGGAGGCAGCACGCGGGACUAUAGGACAAUGCCGGCAAGCCUGAUCCAGCCAGACCGCGUGGGGGCAGAAGUCCUUCGGGCGGGAAAGCCCUGUUGGCGGGAAAGAAAAGCAGCAGCUUAACACCCCGCUGUUCUGACGGUACCCAAAGAAUAAGCACCGGCUAACUUCGUG
rnacentral:rRNA from 1 species